rnacentral:ncRNA from 1 species
AAAGGUUUGGUCCUGGCCUUUCUAUUAACCCUUAGUAGGAUUACACAUGCAAGUGUCCGCGCUCCGGUGAAAAUGCCCUUCAAGUCAUUAUAGAUCUAAAGGAGCAGGUAUCAAGCACACUACAUUAGUAGCUCACGACGCCUUGCCUAGCCACACCCCCACGGGAUACAGCAGUGAUAAAAAUUAAGCCAUGAACGAAAGUUUGACUAAGCCAUACUAACUUUAGGGUUGGUAAAUUUCGUGCCAGCCACCGCGGUCAUACGAUUAACCCAAGUUAAUAGACAUACGGCGUAAAGCGUGUUAAGGAAUUUUACCCACUAAUAAAGAUAAAUCCAGGCUAUGCCGUAGAAAGCUCUAGCUUAGAUAAAAAUAACCCACGAAAGUGACUUUAAACAAUCCGACACACGAUAGCUAAGACACAAACUGGGAUUAGAUACCCCACUAUGCUUAGCCCUAAACCAAAGUAGUUAUCAUAACAAUACUAUUCGCCAGAGUACUACUAGCAACAGCUUAAAACUCAAAGGACUUGGCGGUGCUUUAUAUCCCUCUAGAGGAGCCUGUUCUGUAAUCGAUAAACCCCGAUAAACCUCACCAACCCUUGCUAAUACAGCCUAUAUACCGCCAUCUUCAGCAAACCCUAAAAAGGAAGCACAGUAAGCGCAAACACAAAACAUAAAAACGUUAGGUCAAGGUGUAGCCUAUGAGUUGGAAAGAAAUGGGCUACAUUUUCUAACAUAGAAUAUUAACGAAAAUUUUCGUGAAACCGAAAAUGGAAGGAGGAUUUAGUAGUAAAUUAAGAAUAGAGAGCUUAAUUGAAUAAGGCCAUGAAGCACGCACACACCGCCCGUCACCCUCCUCAAGUAUCAAAGUAUGACCAACCAACCCUAUUAACGAACAUACACCCAUACAAGAGGAGAUAAGUCGUAACAAGGUAAGCGUACCGGAAGGUGCGCUUGGACAAA